rnacentral:rRNA from 1 species
UACGAAGGUCCCAAGCGUUAUCCGGAUUCAUUGGGUUUAAAGGGAGCGUAGGCGGAUAGGUAAGUCAGUGGUGAAAUCCCAUCGCUUAACGAUGGAACUGCCAUUGAUACUGCUUAUCUAGAGUACAGUUGCCGUUGGCGGAAUAUGACAUGUAGUGGUGAAAUACUUAGAUAUGUCAUAGAACACCGAUUGCGAAGGCAGCUAACGAAGCUGUAACUGACGCUGAGGCUCGAAAAGUGCGGGGAUCAAACAGG